ACCCACCUUUAACAUGCAAAUUCAUGCAAAUCACACACUUUUAUUUUUUGUGAAUAUUUUUUUAUUAUUAUUUUUCUCAUUCCGGAGCCAAAACCCCCCAAAAAAAACCCCCAAAAAAACCCCAAAAAAACCCCAAAAAAAAACCCCAAAAAAAUUCCCAUUUCCGGGUUGGGGGCGGGGCCAACACCGAGGCCACGCCCCCUUUUCCCGCCAGCCAAUAGGAGGGAGGGGGCGUGGCCAAAGGGGAAAAGGGGCGGAGCCGAUCUCACCUGGAAAGAAAAGGGGGCGGAGUUAAAGGGGAACUGGUUUAUACUGGUUUAUACUGGUUUAUACUGGUUUGGGGUUUUUUCUUACUGGUUUGUACUGGGAAUGGGUUUGGGGUUACUGGUUUGUACUGGGAAUGGGUUUGGGGUUACUGGUUUGUACUGGGAAUGGGUUUGGGGUUACUGGUUUGUACUGGGAAUGGGUUUGGGGUUACUGGUUUGUACUGGGAGGGGGUUUGGGGUUACUGGUUUGUACUGGGAAUGGGUUUGGGGUUACUGGUUUGUACUGGGAAUGGGUUUGCGGUUACUGGAACGCCCCAAAAUUGACCAAAAACGCCCAAAAUGGCCCCGAAAUGACCCAAAAUCAGCCCAAGUUUGGGAUGGGGGAGGGGAAAUUUGGGGUUGAGGGUGGCCCAAAAUUUGGGAAUUCCCAAAAUUCCCAAAAUUCCCAAAAUUCCCGAAAUUAUCCCCAAAAAUUUCCCGAAAUUCCCGCAAAAAACACCCCAAAAAUGACCCAAAAUGACACAAAUUUGCCCAAAAUCAACCCAAGUUUGGGGUGGGGGAGGGGAAAUUUGGGGUUGGGGGGGCCCAAAAUUUGGGAAUUCCCAAAAUUCCCAAAAUUCCCAAAAUUCCCGAAAUUAUCCCCAAAAUUCCCGCGGAAAACGCCCCAAAAUUGACCCAAAAUGACCCAAAUUAGCCCAAAAUCAGCCUCAAUUUGGAGUGGGGGAGGGGAAAUUUGGGGUUGGGGGGGACCCAAAAUUUGGGAAUCCCAAAAUUCCCAAAAUUCCCGAAAUUCCCGAAAUUAUCCCCAAAAAUUUCCCGAAAUUCCCGCAAAAACGCCCCAAAAUUGACCCAAAAUGGCCCCGAAAUGACCCAAAAUCAGCCCAAGUUGGGGUGGGGGAGGAGAAAUUUGGGGUCAGGGGGGGGCCCAAAUUUGGGAAUCCCCAAAUUCCCAAAAUUCCCAAAAUUCCCGAAAUUAUCCCCAAAAAUUUCCCGAAAUUCCCGCAAAAAACGGCCCAAAAUUGACCCAAAAUCACUAAAAAUUGACCCAAAUUUGCCCCAAAUGGCCCCAAAAUCAGCCCAAGUUUGGGGUCGGGGGGUCCCAAAAUUUGUGAAUCCCAAAAUUCCCAAAAUUCCCAAAAUUCCCGAAAUUAUCCCCAAAAAUUUCCCGAAAUUCCCGCAAAAAACGCCCCAAAAAUGACCCAAAAUGGCCCCGAAAUGACCCAAAAUCAGCCCAAGUUUGGGGUGGGGGAGGGGAAAUUUGGGGUUGGGGGGGGCCAAAAUUUGGGAAUCCCAAAAUUCCCAAAAUUCCCGAAAUUAUCCCCAAAAAUUUCCAAAAUUCCCACAAAAAACGCCCCAAAAAUGACCCAAAAUGACCCAAAUUUGCCCAAAAUGGCCCCAAAAUGACCCAAAAUCAGCCCAAAUUUGGAGUGGGGGAGGGGAAAUUUGGGGUUGGGGGGGGCCAAAAUUCGGGAAUUCCAAAAUUCCCAAAAUUCCCAAAAUUAUCCCCAAAAAUUUCCCGAAAUUCCCACAAAAAACGCCCCAAAAAUGACCCAAAAUGGCCCAAAAUGGCCCCAAAUUUGGGAUCGGGGGGGCCCCAAAUUCGGAUAUCCCCAAAUUCCCAAAAUUCCCAAAAUUAUCUCCAAAUUUCCCCCCAAAUCCCCAAUUUUUGGCUUCCCCCACUCCAAAUUUUUGGGGUCCCCCCAAAUUUUUGGGUUCCCACCCCAAACCCCCCAAAUUUUUGGGGUCCCACCCCAAAAUAUCCAAUUUUUCGACUUCUGCCCCUCCAAAAACCCCAAAAUUUUUGGGCUCCCCCACCCCAAACCCCCAAAAUUUUGGGGUCCCCCCAAAUUUUUGUCUCCCCCCACCCCAAA
ensembl:lncRNA